rnacentral:rRNA from 1 species
UGGGGAAUUUUGGACAAUGGGCGCAAGCCUGAUCCAGCCAUGCCGCGUGCGGGAAGAAGGCCUUCGGGUUGUAAACCGCUUUUGUCAGGGAAGAAAUCUUCUGAGUUAAUACCUCGGGAGGAUGACGGUACCUGAAGAAUAAGCACCGGCUAACUACGUGCCAGCAGCCGCGGUAAUACGUAGGGUGCAAGCGUUAAUCGGAAUUACUGGGCGUAAAGCGUGCGCAGGCGGUUUUGUAAGACAGAGGUGAAAUCCCCGGGCUCAACCUGGGAACUGCCUUUGUGACUGCAAGGCUUGAGUGCGGCAGAGGGGGAUGGAAUUCCGCGUGUAGCAGUGAAAUGCGUAGAUAUGCGGAGGAACACCGAUGGCGAAGGCAAUCCCCUGGGCCUGCACUGACGCUCAUGCACGAAAGCGUGGGGAGCAAACAGGAUUAGAUACCCCUGGUAGUCCACGCCCUAAACGAUGUCAACUGGUUGUUGGGAAGGUUCCUUCUCAGUAACGUAGCUAACGCGUGAAGUUGACCGCCUGGGGGAGUACGGCCGCAAGGUUGAAACUUAAAUGAAUUAAACGGGGUCAUAGCUGUUUCCUG